rnacentral:rRNA from 1 species
UACGUAGGGGGCAAGCGUUGUCCGGAAUCAUUGGGCGUAAAGCGCGCGUAGGCGGCCCGGUAAGUCCGCUGUAAAAGUCCAGGGCUCAACCCUGGAAAGCCGGUGGAUACUGUCGGGCUAGAGUCCGGAAGAGGCGAGUGGAAUUCCUGGUGUAGCGGUGGAAUGCGCAGAUAUCAGGAGGAACACCCGUGGCGAAAGCGGCAUCCUGGACCAAUACUGACACUGAGGAGCGAAAGCCAGGGGAGCAAACGGG